rnacentral:rRNA from 1 species
CCUUCGGGAGGCAGCAGUGGGGAAUAUUGCACAAUGGGGGGAACCCUGAUGCAGCGACGCCGCGUGAGUGAAGAAGUAUUUCGGUAUGUAAAGCUCUGUCAGCAGGGAAGAAGAAAGACGGUACCUGACCAAGAAGCCCCGGCUAACUACGGGCCAGCAGCCGCGGUAAUACGUAGGGGGCAAGCGUUAUCCGGAUUUACUGGGUGUAAAGGGAGCGUAGACGGCAGGGCAAGUCUGGAGUGAAAGGCAGGGGCCCAACCCCUGGACUGCUCUGGAAACUGUCCGGCUGGAGUGCAGGAGAGGUAAGUGGAAUGCCUAGUGGAGCGGUGAAAUGCGUAGAGAUUAGGAGGAACACCAGUGGCGAAGGCGGUCUGCUGGACAGCAACUGACGCUGAGGCGCGAAAGCGUGGGGAGCAAACAGGAUUAGAUACCCGAGUAGUC